rnacentral:lncRNA from 1 species
CCUCCUCCCUGCCCUGCUGCACAGAGACACUGGUAAUAAUGACAACAACACACAGAGAAAGACUUUAUACUGUAAGGGAGAGAAAGAGAGAGAAAACCAACAUCCACAAGCCGAAAAUAAUGCAUACCGUUAAAUAUACCUGUUAUAACUCCAAGGGGAGCACCAUCUACCUAUCCACCACCAAAACUGACAGCCGAGCAAGCAACUUCUUUCUCUCCACCCCAUCGCUGGAUUGUUCCUUCCACUCUUGCUCAUCGUAUAAAACAACUUUUACCAGUAAAUAUCGGUUUAUUCCUGAAACCAGAAGCCCUAAACAUAUCUUUGUUUAUAAGCUGUCUUUUUGUGAUUAUGAUUGUGCAAUAUUAUUGGCCACAACUUUAAUCUGAGCAAUUGACACUGGUCCAUCUUCAAAUCAUUCAGAAGACUUGAAGAGAA